rnacentral:tRNA from 1 species
UCCUAGUUAGCUCAGUUGGUAGAGUGCUCGACUAGAAAUAGAGGUCCCUGGUUUGAUUCCAGGUCCAGGCG